AUUGAACGCUGGCGGCAUGCUUUACACAUGCAAGUCGGACGGCAGCACAGAGAAGCUUGCUUCUUGGGUGGCGAGUGGCGAACGGGUGAGUAACAUAUCGGAACGUACCGAGUAGUGGGGGAUAACUGAUCGAAAGAUCAGCUAAUACCGCAUACGUCUUGAGAGGGAAAGCAGGGGACCUUCGGGCCUUGCGCUAUUCGAGCGGCCGAUAUCUGAUUAGCUAGUUGGUGGGGUAAAGGCCUACCAAGGCGACGAUCAGUAGCGGGUCUGAGAGGAUGAUCCGCCACACUGGGAUUGAGACACGGCCCAGACUCCUACGGGAGGCAGCAGUGGGGAAUUUUGGACAAUGGGCGCAAGCUUGAUCCAGCCAUGCCGCGUGUCUGAAGAAGGCCUUCGGGUUGUAAAGGACUUUUGUCAGGGAAGAAAAGGCUGUUGGUAAUAUCAGCGGCUGAUGACGGUACCUGAAGAAUAAGCACCGGCUAAUUACGUGCCAGCAGCCGCGGUAAUACGUAGGGUGCGAGCGUUAAUCGGAAUUACUGGGCGUAAAGCGAGCGCAGACGGUUAGUUAAGCAGGAUGUGAAAUCCCCGGGCUCAACCUGGGAAUUGCGUUCUGAACUGGGUGACUAGAGUGUGUCAGAGGGAGGUAGAAUUCCACGUGUAGCAGUGAAAUGCGUAGAGAUGUGGAGGAAUACCGAUGGCGAAGGCAGCCUCCUGGGAUAACACUGACGUUCAUGCUCGAAAGCGUGGGUAGCAAACAGG
rnacentral:rRNA from 1 species